CGUUUUAUGUUCCCUAUGUUUUGAUAACUCUGAGCAUAAAAAUCAUUCAUUUCGUGUUUAUAAAAGUGUAGGGGGAGGUUGUUGCGACUGUGGAGAUGAGGAUGCCUGGAAACUUUACUCAAAUUGCACACUUCAUUCCAAAAAGUACACGAAAACUUUGCGCAGUAAUAUUAAUGACGAAAUUAGCGACACUGUGGUGGAUUUUUUGUUAGACUCCGUUAGGUUUGUGUGCUACUAUUUGGGCUUCAACAUUAAAUUUCUAUCAGAAUUAAAAAUUUUGACUUCCGAUGCUUUAAUCAGCGC